GACGAACGCUGGCGGCGUGCCUAAUACAUGCAAGUAGAACGCACAGUUUAUACCGUAGCUUGCUACACCAUAGACUGUGAGUUGCGAACGGGUGAGUAACGCGUAGGUAACCUGCCUGGUAGCGGGGGAUAACUAUUGGAAACGAUAGCUAAUACCGCAUAAUAUUAAUUAUUGCAUGAUAAUUAAUUGAAAGGUGCAAUUGCACCACUACCAGAUGGACCUACGUUGUAUUAGCUAGUAGGUGAGGUAACGGCUCACCUAGGCGACGAUACAUAGCCGACCUGAGAGGGUGAUCGGCCACACUGGGACUGAGACACGGCCCAGACUCCUACGGGAGGCAGCAGUAGGGAAUCUUCGGCAAUGGACGAAAGUCUGACCGAGCAACGCCGCGUGAGUGAAGAAGGUUGUCGGAUCGUAAAGCUCUGUUGUAAGAGAAGAACGGGUGUGAGAGUGGAAAGUUCACACUGUGACGGUAUCUUACCAGAAAGGGACGGCUAACUACGUG
rnacentral:rRNA from 1 species